rnacentral:rRNA from 1 species
UACGUAGGGGGCAAGCGUUGUCCGGAUUUAUUGGGCGUAAAGAGCGUGUAGGCGGUCAGGUAGGUCCGUUGUGAAAACUCGAGGCUCAACCUCGAGACGCCGAUGGAAACCAUCUGGCUAGAGUCCGGAAGAGGAGAGUGGAAUUCCUGGUGUAGCGGUGAAAUGCGCAGAUAUCAGGAAGAACACCCGUGGCGAAGGCGGCUCUCUGGGACGGUACUGACGCUGAGACGCGAAAGCGUAGGGAGCGAACAGG